UUGUGGCUGCAAUUUAUCAGUCACCAUUUUAGUUAGGACGAUAUUUGAGCAAAUCAGAAACUUUCAGGUGCUCAUGCGCACUUACAUUUAAUGGUCUUUAAUAAGACGCAUAUGUCAGCAAGAUCAUCGUAUAUGAGGUUAUUUAAAAGAUUAUAAAAUCGCGUGAUUGUCUACAAAAUAUCAACAUGAAGUGUGCCUGGGUGUGGGCAGAGAAGUAAAAAGAGCCUUUCAUUUCAUAGAGCUAAACGACAAUUGUUGAGCAUAUUUUUAUCAAAAUUCGAGGUAUAGGGGGUCUCGUUAACAUUUACCAAAACAAUAUUGACAUUAUUAGAUCCAGUUCGGCAUACCCAAUGGACGCCACAGGUUGGCAGAAAAGAAUGGACAUCUAUCGAUAGAUCAUUUCUGUGUGAAAAAAGUUACCACGAAAAUGUCAGACCUGCUUCACGGAAUGAUGAUGCUAGAACUGCUUUACAGAAGGAUGACGCUAAACCUGCUUCACAAAAUGAUGAUGCUAGAACUGCUUUACAGAAU